rnacentral:rRNA from 1 species
CUAAUACAUGCAAGUCGAACGAGCUUCCGUUGAAUGACGUGCUUGCACUGAUUUCAACAAUGAAGCGAGUGGCGAACUGGUGAGUAACACGUGGGGAAUCUGCCCAGAAGCAGGGGAUAACACUUGGAAACAGGUGCUAAUACCGUAUAACAACAAAAUCCGCAUGGAUUUUGUUUGAAAGGUGGCUUCGGCUAUCACUUCUGGAUGAUCCCGCGGCGUAUUAGUUAGUUGGUGAGGUAAAGGCCCACCAAGACGAUGAUACGUAGCCGACCUGAGAGGGUAAUCGGCCACAUUGGGACUGAGACACGGCCCAAACUCCUACGGGAGGCAGCAGUAGGGAAUCUUCCACAAUGGACGAAAGUCUGAUGGAGCAAUGCCGCGUGAGUGAAGAAGGGUUUCGGCUCGUAAAACUCUGUUGUUAAAGAAGAACACCUUUGAGAGUAACUGUUCAAGGGUUGACGGUAUUUAACCAGAAAGCCACGGCUAACUACGUGCCAGCAGCCGCGGUAAUACGUAGGUGGCAAGCGUUGUCCGGAUUUAUUGGGCGUAAAGCGAGCGCAGGCGGUUUUUUAAGUCUGAUGUGAAAGCCUUCGGCUUAACCGGAGAAGUGCAUCGGAAACUGGGAGACUUGAGUGCAGAAGAGGACAGUGGAACUCCAUGUGUAGCGGUGGAAUGCGUAGAUAUAUGGAAGAACACCAGUGGCGAAGGCGGCUGUCUAGUCUGUAACUGACGCUGAGGCUCGAAAGCAUGGGUAGCGAACAGGAUUAGAUACCCUGGUAGUCCAUGCCGUAAACGAUGAGUGCUAAGUGUUGGAGGGUUUCCGCCCUUCAGUGCUGCAGCUAACGCAUUAAGCACUCCGCCUGGGGAGUACGACCGCAAGGUUGAAACUCAAAGGAAUUGACGGGGGCCCGCACAAGCGGUGGAGCAUGUGGGUUUAAUUCGAAGCUACGCGAAGAACCUUACCAGGUCUUGACAUCUUCUGCCAUCUUAGAGAUAGACGUUCCCUUCGGGGACAGAUGACAGGUGGUUGCAUGGAUGUCGUCAGCUCGUGUCGUGAGAUGUUGGGUUAAGUCCCGCACGAGCGCAUCCCUUAUAUCAGUGCAGCAUCAGUGGCACUCUGUUGAGACUGGCGUGACACCGGAGAAGGGUGGGCAUGACGUCAUUCAUCAUGCCCUUAUGACUGGGGCUUAC